rnacentral:rRNA from 1 species
GCCAGCAGCCGCGGUAAUACGAAGGGUGCAAGCGUUAAUCGGAAUUACUGGGCGUAAAGCGUGCGUAGGUGGUGAUUUAAGUCUGCUGUGAAAUCCCCGGGCUCAACCUGGGAAUGGCAGUGGAUACUGGAUCGCUAGAGUGUGAUAGAGGAUGGUGGAAUUCCCGGUGUAGCGGUGAAAUGCGUAGAGAUCGGGAGGAACAUCAGUGGCGAAGGCGGCCAUCUGGAUCAACACUGACACUGAGGCACGAAAGCGUGGGGAGCAAACAGGAUUAGGUACCCUGGUAGUCCACGCCCUAAACGAUGCGAACUGGAUGUUGGUCUCAACUCGGAGAUCAGUGUCGAAGCUAACGCGUUAAGUUCGCCGCCUGGGGAGUACGGUCGCAAGACUGAAACUCAAAGGAAUUGACGGGGGCCCGCACAAGAA